rnacentral:rRNA from 1 species
UACAGGCUUAACACAUGCAAGUCGUGGGGAAACGGCAUUAUGUGCUUGCACAUUCUGGACGUCGACCGGCGCACGGGUGAGUAUCGCGUAUCCAACCUGCCCCUUACUUGGGGAUACCCCGUUGAAAGACGGCCUAAUACCCGAUGAGUUUCAUUGACGGCAUCCGAUAUGAAACAAAGGUUUUCCGGUAAGGGAUGGGGAUGCGUCUGAUUAGCUUGUUGGCGGGGCAACGGCCCACCAAGGCGACGAUCAGUAGGGGUUCUGAGAGGAAGGUCCCCCACAUUGGAACUGAGACACGGUCCAAACUCCUACGGGAGGCAGCAGUGAGGAAUAUUGGUCAAUGGACGCAAGUCUGAACCAGCCAAGUAGCGUGCAGGAUGACGGCCCUAUGGGUUGUAAACUGCUUUUAUGUGGGAAUAAAGUGGCGCACGUGUGCGCCAUUGCAUGUACCUCAUGAAUAAGGACCGGCUAAUUCCGUGCCAGCAGCCGCGGUAAUACGGAAGGUCCGGGCGUUAUCCGGAUUUAUUGGGUUUAAAGGGAGUGUAGGCGGUCUGUUAAGCGUGUUGUGAAAUUUAGGUGCUCAACAUUUAACUUGCAGCGCGAACUGUCAGACUUGAGUACACGCAGCGCAGGCGGAAUUCAUGGUGUAGCGGUGAAAUGCUUAGAUAUCAUGAGGAACUCCGAUCGCGAAGGCAGCCUGCGGGAGUGUUACUGACGCUUAAGCUCGAAGGUGCGGGUAUCGAACAGGAUUAGAUACCCUGGUAGUCCGCACGGUAAACGAUGGAUGCCCGCCGUUGGCGCCCUGCGCCUGCGGCCAAGCGAAAGCAUUAAGCAUCCCACCUGGGGAGUACGCCGGCAACGGU